GGGGAAUUUCUGCUGCUAGAGAUGACGAGCGGCGGACGGGUGAGUAAUACUUAGGAAUCUACCUAGUAGUGGGGGAUAGCUCGGGGAAACUCGAAUUAAUACCGCAUACGACCUACGGGAGAAAGGGGGCAACUUGUUGCUCUCGCUAUUAGAUGAGCCUAAGUCGGAUUAGCUAGAUGGUGGGGUAAAGGCCUACCAUGGCGACGAUCUGUAGCUGGUCUGAGAGGAUGAUCAGCCACACCGGGACUGAGACACGGCCCGGACUCCUACGGGAGGCAGCAGUGGGGAAUAUUGGACAAUGGGGGAAACCCUGAUCCAGCCAUGCCGCGUGUGUGAAGAAGGCCUUUUGGUUGUAAAGCACUUUAAGCAGUGAAGAAGACUCUUCGGUUAAUACCCGGAGACGAUGACAUUAGCUGCAGAAUAAGCACCGGCUAACUCUGUGCCAGCAGCCGCGGUAAUACAGAGGGUGCAAGCGUUAAUCGGAAUUACUGGGCGUAAAGCGAGCGUAGGUGGCUUGAUAAGUCAGAUGUGAAAUCCCCGGGCUUAACCUGGGAACUGCAUCUGAUACUGUCAGGCUAGAGUAGGUGAGAGGAAGGUAGAAUUCCAGGUGUAGCGGUGAAAUGCGUAGAGAUCUGGAGGAAUACCGAUGGCGAAGGCAGCCUUCUGGCAUCAUACUGACACUGAGGCUCGAAAGCGUGGGUAGCAAACAGGAUUAGAUACCCUGGUAGUCCACGCCGUAAACGAUGUCUACUAGUCGUUGGGUCCCUUGAGGACUUAGUGACGCAGCUAACGCAAUAAGUAGACCGCCUGGGGAGUACGGCCGCAAGGUUAAAACUCAAAUGAAUUGACGGGGGCCCGCACAAGCGGUGGAGCAUGUGGUUUAAUUCGAUGCAACGCGAAGAACCUUACCUGGUCUUGACAUAUCUAGAAUCCUGCAGAGAUGCGGGAGUGCCUUCGGGAAUUAGAAUACAGGUGCUGCAUGGCUGUCGUCAGCUCGUGUCGUGAGAUGUUGGGUUAAGUCCCGCAACGAGCGCAACCCUUGUCCUUAGUUACCAGCGGGUUAAGCCGGGAACUCUAAGGAUACUGCCAGUGACAAACUGGAGGAAGGCGGGGACGACGUCAAGUCAUCAUGGCCCUUACGACCAGGGCUACACACGGGCUACAAGGGUAGGUACCAGAGGGGAGCUACCACGCGGAUGUGAUGGGAAUCUUAAAAAGCCUUUU
rnacentral:rRNA from 1 species